AUGCAAAAGAAGAAAGAUUUUGACAAUGAUAUUGUUAAAUUGAAGCUAUUUCCUUUUUCGCUUAGAGAUCGUGCUAAAGCUUGGUUUUCGUCUUUGCCUAAAAAUAGUAUUGAUUCUUGGAAUAAGUGCAAAGAUGCUUUUAUCUCUAAGUAUUUUCCUCCCGCUAAGAUUAUCUCUCUUAGAAACGAUAUUAUGAAUUUUAAGCAACUUGAUCAUGAACAUGUUGCACAAGCUUGGGAGAGUAUGAAAUUAAUGAUACGUAAUUGCCCUACACAUGGUUUGAAUUUGUGGAUGAUUAUACAAAAAUUUUAUGCCGGAUUGAAUUUUGCUUCUAGAAAUCUUUUAGAUUCGGCCGCGGGAGGCACUUUUAUGGAAAUCACUUUAGGAGAAGCUACUAAACUCCUAGAUAAUAUUAUGGUUAAUUAUUCUCAAUGGCACACUAAAAGAUCUACUAAUAAAAAGGUGCAUUCGAUAGAAGAAAUUAAUGUUUUGAGUGGAAAGAUGGAUGAACUUAUGAAAUUAUUUGCUAGUAAGAGUGUUUCUUCCGAUCCUAAUGAUAUGCCUUUGUCUACUUUGAUUGAGAAUAAUAAUGAAUCUAUGGAUGUGAAUUUUGUUGGUAGGAAUAAUUUUGGUAACAACGCGUAUAGAGGGAAUUUUAAUCCUCGGCCUUAUCCUAGCAAUUCCUCUAAUAAUUAUGGUAAUUCCUACAACAAUUCUUAUGGAAAUUUUAAUAAGAUGCCUUCUGAAUUUGAGACUAGUGUUAAGUAA
rnacentral:rRNA from 1 species